UGAAAGUGAUGAAUAUAAUUGCCUUUUUGAGGUUGCCAGUCUCUAUGGGCGAUACCUCAAUGAUAUUAAUGGCUACCAGAGGGAAAAAGAACAAGGGAAAUUGGUGAACUCAGUAACCUUGCGCUUGAUUCAUGGGUGUGGGGCACAAAGUGAAGAAGAGAUCAUAAAGAAGAUAAAGAGUAAGAUUGAUAAGAUGAGAAAAGAGAUCCUGAGAUUAGUGUUGCUGAAAGAAGGAAGUGUAAUUCCAGGAGAUAUUAAAGAUGUGUACUGGAAAAUGUGCAGAUCACUUCACUUCACUUACAAUAAGAAGGAUGAUGUGGUUCAUGCAAAGAAGAUGCCUAACGAGAUGCUAAACAUCGAAGACAUAGUUCUCAAUAAUCCCAUCAUCUUGAAUUCAUAAAUCACGUAGCUAGCAUUUCAAUAGGGUCUAUGGGAAUUGUUCCUAUCUAUCUGUUAUCACGCUUAAGUCUUAACCUCAUGUCUUCAGCAAAUGAAGAAUGAUUCGGAGAUUAUUAGCAUGCACCAUAUCCAUAUUGUAAAAGAUGAAGUUAAGAAGAUAAAAAAUUCAUCAGCAUUAGUACUUUUACUAUCAAAGUGUACUGUGAUAGGCUCAAAAUUGUGUAAACCUAUGAUUAUGCAAGUAUAUAUACAGGUCAUGUCAAGUAUCAGUGAUAAA